AUUGAACGCUGGCGGCAUGCCUUACACAUGCAAGUCGAACGGCAGCGGACCUUCGGGUGCCGGCGAGUGGCGAACGGGUGAGUAAUAUAUCGGAACGUACCUUUCAGUGGGGGAUAACGUAGCGAAAGUUACGCUAAUACCGCAUAUUCUGUGAGCAGGAAAGCAGGGGAUCGCAAGACCUUGCGCUGAUUGAGCGGCCGAUAUCAGAUUAGCUAGUUGGUGAGGUAAAGGCUCACCAAGGCGACGAUCUGUAGCGGGUCUGAGAGGAUGAUCCGCCACACUGGAACUGAGACACGGCCCAGACUCCUACGGGAGGCAGCAGUGGGGAAUAUUGCGCAAUGGGGGAAACCCGUGACGCAGCCACGCCGCGUGGGUGAUGAAGGCCU
rnacentral:rRNA from 1 species